rnacentral:lncRNA from 1 species
CGUCAAUACAAACAACUGCACUGUUAUUUUUAUUUGUGGUUUCAGACAUGUUGAAAUGAUGAACUGAAAUUCAUAUGAAACUCUAAGAACUGACGAUUUUGUUGAAAUUAAAAUGUAUCAGACCAUUUUACUUGACAUAUCUUCUAGCAAACAACGUAUCUUGAAAAUAAACUUCACGACCCGAUAAACUUUGUUUUAAAAGAAGGUUUGACGUUUUUAGGAAUGAAUACAGUAAUAGUAG